ACUUAAAUUGAAGAGUUUGAUCAUGGCUCAGAUUGAACGCUGGCGGCAGGCCUAACACAUGCAAGUCGAGCGGUAGCACAGAGAGCUUGCUCUCGGGUGACGAGCGGCGGACG
rnacentral:rRNA from 1 species